rnacentral:rRNA from 1 species
GAUGAACGCUGGCGGCGUGCCUAAUACAUGCAAGUCGAGCGAACUGAUUAGAAGCUUGCUUCUAUGACGUUAGCGGCGGACGGGUGAGUAACACGUGGGCAACCUGCCUGUAAGACUGGGAUAACUUCGGGAAACCGAAGCUAAUACCGGAUAGGAUCUUCUCCUUCAUGGGAGAUGGUUGAAAGAUGGUUUCGGCUAUCACUUACAGAUGGGCCCGCGGUGCAUUAGCUAGUUGGUGAGGUAACGGCUCACCAAGGCAACGAUGCAUAGCCGACCUGAGAGGGUGAGCGGCCACACGGGGACUGUGACACGGCCCAGACUCCUACGGGAGGCAGCAGUAGGGAAUCUUCCGCAAUGGACGAAAGUCUGACGGAGCAACGCCGCGUGAGUGAUGAAGGCUUUCGGGUCGUAAAACUCUGUUGUUAGGGAAGAACAAGUACAAGAGUAACUGCUUGUACCUUGACGGUACCUAACCAGAAAGCCACGGCUAACUACGUGCCAGCAGCCGCAGUAACAC